UACGUAGGGUGCGAGCGUUAAUCGGAAUUACUGGGCGUAAAGCGUGCGCAGGCGGUUGGUUAAGACAGGUGUGAAAUCCCCGAGCUCAACUUGGGAAUUGCGCUUGUUACUGGCCAGCUAGAGUGUGUCAGAGGGAGGUAGAAUUCCACGUGUAGCAGUGAAAUGCGUAGAGAUGUGGAGGAAUACCGAUGGCGAAGGCAGCCGUCCUGGGAGUAAC
rnacentral:rRNA from 1 species